rnacentral:rRNA from 1 species
UCAAUUUCGUGUGGCUAAACGCCACUCGUCCCUCUAAGAAGUUGCGCCGGCGCAUCGAGGAACCGGCGCACUAUUUAAUAGGCUAGAGUCUCGUUCGUUAU